GACGAACGCUGGCGGCGUGCCUAAUACAUGCAAGUUGAGCGCUGAAGGUUGGUACUUGUACCGACUGGAUGAGCAGCGAACGGGUGAGUAACGCGUGGGGAAUCUGCCUUUGAGCGGGGGACAACAUUUGGAAACGAAUGCUAAUACCGCAUAAAAACUUUAAACACAAGUUUUAAGUUUGAAAGAUGCAAUUGCAUCACUCAAAGAUGAUCCCGCGUUGUAUUAGCUAGUUGGUGAGGUAAAGGCUCACCAAGGCGAUGAUACAUAGCCGACCUGAGAGGGUGAUCGGCCAACUUGGGACUGAGACACGGCCCAAACUCCUACGGGAGGCAGCAGUAGGGGAUCUUCGGCAAUGGACGAAAGUCUGAACGAGCAACGCCGCGUGAGUGAAGAAGGUUUUCGGAUCGUAAAACUCUGUUGGUAGAGAAGAAAGUUGGUGAGAGUGGAAAGCUCAUCAAGUGACGGUAACUACCCAGAAAGGGACGGCUAACUACGUG
rnacentral:rRNA from 1 species